rnacentral:rRNA from 1 species
AGUGAACGCUGGCGGUAGGCCUAACACAUGCAAGUCAAACGGCAGCACAGAGGAGCUUGCUCCUUGGGUGGCGAGUGGCGGACGGGUGAGGAAUACAUCAGAAUCUACUCUGUCGUGGGGGAUAACGUAGGGAAACUUACGCUAAUACCGCAUACGACCUACGGGUGAAAGCAGGGGACCUUCGGGCCUUGCGCGAUUGAAUGAGCCGAUGUCGGAUUAGCUAGUUGGCGGGGUAAAGGCCCACCAAGGCGACGAUCCGUAGUUGGUCUGAGAGGAUGAUCAGCCACACUGGAACUGAGACACGGUCCAGACUCCUACGGGAGGCAGCAGUGGGGAAUAUUGGACAAUGGGCGCAAGCCUGAUCCAGCCAUACCGCGUGGGUGAAGAAGGCCUUCGGGUUGUAAAGCCCUUUUGUUGGGAAAGAAAUCCAGCUGGCUAAUACCCGGUUGGGAUGACGGUACCCAAAGAAUAAGCACCGGCUAACUUCGUGCCAGCAGCCGCCGUAA